rnacentral:rRNA from 1 species
AUUGAACGCUGGCGGCAGGCCUAACACAUGCAAGUCGAGCGGCAGCGGGAAAGUAGCUUGCUACUUUUGCCGGCGAGCGGCGGACGGGUGAGCAAUGCCUGGGGAUCUGCCCAGUCGAGGGGGAUAACUACUGGAAACGGUAGCUAAUACCGCAUACGCCCUACGGGGGAAAGCAGGGGACCUUCGGGCCUUGCGCGAUUGGAUGAACCCAGGUGGGAUUAGCUAGUUGGUGAGGUAAUGGCUCACCAAGGCGACGAUCCCUAGCUGGUCUGAGAGGAUGAUCAGCCACACUGGAACUGAGACACGGUCCAGACUCCUACGGGAGGGAGCAGUGGGGAAUAUUGCACAAUGGGGGAAACCCUGAUGCAGCCAUGCCGCGUGUGUGAAGAAGGCCUUCGGGUUGUAAAGCACUUUCAGCGAGGAGGAAAGGUUGGUAGCUAAUAACUGCCAGCUGUGACGUUACUCGCAGAAGAAGCACCGGCUAACUCCGUGCCAGCAGCCGCAGUAAUAC